rnacentral:lncRNA from 1 species
AACUCCAAGCUUGUUUCAAUGCCAUCUGCUGCAUCCCCAGCUGUGGCUGGUCUCAAACUGCCUGCGAUCAGGGCCCAACAGGCCAGAGUUUCUGAUUCCAAAAAAUGGGGUGCUGGAGAGGGGAGAAGAGCAGCCCUUGUGUACUUGGCUGCCACCCUUUUCACCACUGCUGCUGCCUCCUCUUCUGCCAAUGCUGGGGUCAUUGACGACUACCUGGAAAAGAGCAAAGCGAACAAG